rnacentral:misc_RNA from 1 species
UGUUCGAGCGUCAUUUAACCACUCACGCUUAGCGUGGUAUUGGAGCACGCGGUCUCGCGGCCCUCAAAAAUUAGUGGCGGCGCCGGUGGGCUCUAAGCGUAGUACAUACUCCCGCUAUAGAGUUUCUCCGGUGGCUCGCCAGAACCCCCAAUUUUUUACAGGUUGACCUCGGAUCAGGUAGGGAUACCCGCUGAACUUAA